rnacentral:tRNA from 1 species
GACUUCGUAGCUCAGCUGGUAGAGCACGUCACUUUUAAUGAUGGGGUCCUGGGUUCGAGCCCCAGCGAGGUCA